UCCCCCUAAAAUUGGUAUCCUCAAAAUACCUAAGUGUUUCUCUCUGCCACCACCGUUUCAUCAUUAUCUUCCCCUCUCUCCCUCUUUUUGCAUACCUUUCAGAAGGGCUCAUACCUUCAAAACACAGGGAGGGACAAUCUCAAAAGAUAAUGGAAGAUUUGAUAACAAAAUUUCAAAAUGAAAUAUUCUUUUUUCCCCUUCUUUUUCCCAAAAUCGAUUCCCCCCACUUUUUUUCCCAAACCCUUUCUCCCCUACCCCGAUUCCCUUUAUUUUUCCCCCCAAUUUUCCCAAAUCGGCAGCCCUUCUUUUAUUUUUCCCAAACCAUUUCUCCCCUACCCCGAUUCCCUUUGUCACCUCCUUUCUCCGUCCACCCAACCUUCGCCUCUUCUCUCCGCUUCCAACGUUACUUUCGCCUUUUCUAUUCCCUCGCCUCAGUGUUGGAAGGAUUAUGGUCUGUGUACAGAGAGUUUGAGCUGGUUUACUAUGGAAUUACCAAGGAAGAUACAGUGACGCUUAUGCUUAUUGGAUUUGGAUCUGCUCUUUUUUUCGGUAGUUUCUUAGGCCUUCUCUAUGAUUUAAUAGGUCGAAAGAAAUCUUGUUUGGUGUUUUAUAUCUUUCACCUUGUUGUUGGGAUAUGGAAGAGGAUUACAUCAAGUCCUAGCUUUUGGGUAGCAAAUGGUCAUAGGCAAGAUCUUUUGAAUGAAACAUUUUGGUUGAUGACUUUUUUCGAGUCUGCGGCUUUGAUUGGAAGUCAGGUGAUGAGUAAUUAGAUGGUGGGUGGUAAUUUGGAGAAAGAAAUUGCAUGUCCUUGCACUGCAGCUAUUCUUACGGCAAUAGUAGGCAUUAUCUGUAUUUCCAGAGUUUAUGGUGGGAGUCCUCAGACAGUGACCUUUAAGGAAUAUAAAGUGUCCUUUUACUCGUAUAUCCUUUGUGACUAACAUAUAUAAGGGUGCAGUUUAAUGAAUCUUCUCAUGGUUGUGGAGUUCGUGAUUGCGAAUUUGAGUGCUUGUGGACAGCGGCAUGACUUUUAUGUUGAAUGUGGUGUAUCCUUCCUUUUUUUUUGUUCUUCUUUUACUGCAAAUGAGAAGUGACAUUUUCAUAAUUGCCAUAGGGAAUUUGAAUUGGAUUUUAGCUUCAUUUAAGCAUCAAUGGCUUUCGAGUUCAUAAAUAGGUUUGUCUAAUAAUGCUUAAUUUGGCCUUUGAACUAUGCUUCUUAUCCUAUUUUGGUAGGGUACAUAAACUAUUGGAGUAGUGAUAAGAAAAUUGGUUAUGUGGUGCGAAUAAGAAUUUGCUAUGUGGCAUCUUUCUUGUAAUUUUUAGAAAAAUUAAUUUCUUUUUUGCAAUUUUUUAAAAGUUAAAUACUUUUUUGAAAAUUUUAAUUAAGUUUUCAAUUUUUAUACAGUUUUUAUAGUAGUUUUCUGGAUUCUCUGGUCCCCGACACUGGUGGUAAGAAAAUGUCUUUUGUUGAGAAGAAUGUUUACUGUGUUACUUGAAGGAUAAAUAUCUCAGUAGUCUCCUUUAUUUCCCAAUAAGACCAAUAACUUGAAAAAAAAAAACCUUGUAUUUCCCUUUCCUUUUUGCUUUCAUUCUCUCUGUAAUCUAUCUUCUAAUUUCGAGUCUUGAAUUUUCUUCGCCCUUUUUUGCUUUUAAAGUACACCAGUACCACUCUUUAUUUUUUUCCUUCGCUUUCACUAGGAAUUUCUCUGCCACAAGUCGAGAUUUCAUUUCUAAGUAAUUUGUUUUCCUUCUUUACUGAGUUGCAGGGGUUAUUCUAGUAUUCACUUCGCAAGAUUUGAAGCAAAAUCCAUUUCCGUGUGAUGGCUACUCAGGCAACUAAUGGCUGUGAUAUUGAGCAUGUGCGUAUGAAUUUUUCACACAAGCGUUUGUAUUAUAUAAAGAAGAAAUUGCGGACUCUAAAGCCCAAGUGACUGCAAUUCAUCUGAUAAUUGGGACUCUCCAGAGGAUGAAUGUAGAGUUGCAGGGUCCUCUAAGAAUAAGCAAAUCACCAGUUCCGCAAUCCAAGGGCUGAUAGAAUUAAUUAAUACUGAGAUGCAAAGUGAUUUCAUAAACCCUGAUAGUGUGGCUGAUGCUUUCCUUGCCAGCACCUUGCGUUACAUUCAGUUCCAAAAACAAAAAGGCGGUGUAGUGGGUGAGAAAUUCGAUUCCGUUAAACUGUAAAUUGUUGAGUCAUGUAAAGAAGUAAUGCAUGGCAGUUAGAGAUGUAAAUAAGUGUUUAUUCUGGAUUUGGAUUUCAUAUUUGCAUGAUUAUAUUUUUUAUUAAACUGUAAAUUAUUGAGUCAUGUAAAUUGUAUUAAUUCUUUUAUUACCAAGAUUUACUUGAUUAAGAAAAUGCAUUGCAUUUUUUAUUA